rnacentral:rRNA from 1 species
AUACGGAGGAUGCAAGCGUUAUCCGGAUUUAUUGGGUUUAAAGGGUGCGUAGGCGGGACUGUAAGUCAGGGGUGAAAUACUGCAGCUUAACUGUAGCAUUGCCUUUGAAACUGCCGUUCUUGAGUACAGUUGAGGUAGGCGGAAUGUGGUGUGUAGCGGUGAAAUGCAUAGAUAUACCACAGAACGCCGAUUGCGAAGGCAGCUUACUAAGCUGUUACUGACGCUGAGGCACGAAAGCGUGGGGAUCAAACAGGAUUAGAUACCCUGGUAGUCCACGCUAUAAACGAUGAGUGCUAGGUGUCGGGGGUCAAACCUCGGUGCCGCAGUUAACACAUUAAGCACUCCGCCUGGGGAGUACGGCCGCAAGGCUGAAACUCAAAUGAAUUGACGGGG